ACGGGUGAGUAACACGUGGGCAACCUUUCCUAUCGCGGGGGAUAACACCGGGAAACCGAUGCUAAUACCGCAUGUCGUCACCGGUCGCAUGGCUGGUGAAGAAAGCAGCAAUGCACGAUGGGGUGGGCCCGCGGCCUAUCAGCUAGUCGGUGGGGUAACGGCCUACCGAGGCGAUGACGGGUAGCUGGUCUGAGAGGACGGCCAGCCACACGGGGACUGAGACACGGCCCCGACUCCUACGGGAGGCAGCAGUGAGGAAUCUUCCGCAAUGGGCGAAAGCCUGACGGAGCGACGCCGCGUGUGGGAUGAAGUCUUUCGGGAUGUAAACCACUGUCGGAGGGGAAGACAAAAAAGACGGUACCCUCCAAGAAAGCCCCGGCUAACUACGUGCCAGCAGCCGCGGUAAUACGUAGGGGGCAAGCGUUAUCCAGAUUUACUGGGCGUAAAGCGCGUGUAGGCGGCUGGUUAGGCGUGAUGUGAAAUCUUCCGGCUCAACCGGAAAAUUGCAUUGCGAACCGGCCUGGCUAGAGUGCAGGAGAGGGAAGCGGAAUUCCAGGUGUAGCGGUGAAAUGCGUAGA
rnacentral:rRNA from 1 species